rnacentral:rRNA from 1 species
UACGUAGGGCGCAAGCGUUGUCCGGAAUUAUUGGGCGUAAAGAGCUCGUAGGCGGUUUGUCGCGUCUGCUGUGAAAACCUGAGGCUCAACCUCGGGCUUGCAGUGGGUACGGGCAGACUAGAGUGCGGUAGGGGUGACUGGAAUUCCUGGUGUAGCGGUGGAAUGCGCAGAUAUCAGGAGGAACACCGAUGGCGAAGGCAGGUCACUGGGCCGCAACUGACGCUAAGGAGCGAAAGCAUGGGGAGCGAACAGG